rnacentral:tRNA from 1 species
UGGGGCGUCGUCUAAUGGCAGGACAUGGGAUUUUGGUUCCCAUUAUCGGGGUUCGAAUCCCUGCGCCCCAG